AAAGAUCACAGUACUUAAAGAACCACUAAUGUCCUUAGUAUCUAUUGAUUUCUUUCAUUUCUUAGGUGUGUCAAUGUGCUCUGAGCAAAGAACACCAGGAAUACACUUGCAGUUGAAUAAAUUUAUUACUCUUCGUACAAGAUCAACUUAUGCCUGGGAGGAACCAUGAGGCAUCUCAAGAGGAAGGUGACUAGCAUCAGAAGUGGGAUUUGAAAAAGACCCCUGAAGAACCCUGAGUCCAGUGAGUAAUGAGUGCUGCACCCACGGAGUCCCCUGCGGUCACUGCUUUCUUGCUGAUCAUGGAGUUCCAGGUGCAGUUUCCCUAGUUCCCCGGAGCAUUCAUUCUGUGUCUUGGUGGCUGCUCGGCGGCUAGCGUCCAGACCGCCGCUGCUCUUUGGACCUUUGCUAGUGGAGAUGCGCCCACGCUCGCUCUUUCGCAGAGAGGACAGCGACGUCAGAACGCCUCCAUCCGGACAUUGGAACAAUCACUGCCUGUGCUGGUCGGGUCUCGGUCUCCAACCCUCCAGGUUUCACCGUCAUCAUGCAUUUCUUCCUUCUAGCACACCUGGAAUUAGCGGUGCGUGGGAUUUCCUUGUUGUAGCAGGUCCCGUGUAGUCGCGCCUGCGAUUUCCAAUCUUGGCUGAGUCCGAGAACGGCGGCCAAUGAGAUUUCUCCGCGGAGCAGAUCCCGCUUUAGGCGAAUCAAGGGUUUAGCCAGGCCUGGAACUUCUUAGUCAAAGGAAGUCCAUGUUGAUUCUGGCAAAUCAGUACUUGAUCCUGCCUUGCAGAUUUCUAUGUCUCACCGGAUCCCGGUUUAGCGACUUACCAGCGUAGCAUGAGGUGGGCGCUUCAGUUCAGCCUAAGAUUUCCACUUGUAAGAAGUCUGAAUAAACCCAUGUCUCUGGUAUAUCUGAGAUCAGGUGAGCUCAAUGUCAGACCGAAUGUGUCCAGAUUUGCAAGGAAUCUGUACCUGUUCAUCAGGCCUGCCAUUUCUUUUUUCUUUCUUUAAUAAUUUAUUUAACAUUUAUUUUUGAGAGAGAGAGCACGUGGGAGAGAGCAUGAAUGGGGGAGGGGCAGAUAGAGAGGGAGACACAGAAUCUGAAGCAGGCUCCAGGCUCUGAGCUGUCAGCACAGAUCCUGACGUGGGGCUCGAACUCACAAACUGCAAGAUCAUGACCUGAGCCAAAGUCAGACCUUAACUGACUGAGCCACCCAGGCACCCCAGCCUGCCAUUUCUUAAGAGUAGCAAGUUGUGGUUUGGAAAUGCCAUGACCUGUCAUACUUAUGUUUGUUAUUAGGUCCCACAGAAGUAGGAAUAGAUUGGCAAAACCAAUUUCUUCUUUGUGCUUAUUACGUUAGUUGUUUUUUUGUUUUGUUUUGUUUUGUUUGCAAUAGGAAGUCCACCUUAGCUAUGCUUUUUAUUACUAAAUCUGGGAGAAGUCAAUAUCAACAGAAUACAAAAAUUUCUUAUUUGUGGAAGUUUUAGGAAAUUCAGACUUAACUGUUUUUGAUUAUUAGUCUCCUAGAAGUGGGUGUAUAUUUGCUAAAGAGAUUUCUGACUUGGAGUCAGUUCUGGGGUGUUCUACUUUAACUAUGUUUGCAUCAUUAAACCCUUAGAAGCCGAUGUGUACUGACAAAGCGAUUUUUUAAUCACAGCAAUGCUAGAUUCCACACCGGAAGUACCCUCCCCCCAUUUACUAAGUCCUCUCAGUGUUGAUAUAAAUUGGGGAAAAUAAUUUCUUCAUCCCAGCAACUUCUGUAAAUCAAGACUUAGCUGUGUUCCUGUUUAUUAUGCUGUGAAAGUCGGUGCGUAUAGAGACAAAAGCAGUUUCUUAAAAUUGAAAGUUAGGGGUUGGAAACACAAGGUCUGCCAAUCAUUUGUUAAUAGGAAAUCUGUGAAAAUCAGUAUAUACUGCUGAAAACGAUUUCUUCACUGUAGGCAGGUUUGGUUGUGCAAGAGACAGUCUGCCUUAGCUGUUCAUUUUGUCGAUUUCCUAGUCCUUCCAAAUUAUGUUUUUGCAAUAGGAAGUUCAAACUUAAUUGGUUUUUAUCAUGAAGUCCCCUAGAGGUCAGUGUCCACCAGCUGAAAAGAUUUCUUGUUUGCAGAGAGUUCAGGGAAAUUCUGAUUUAGCUAUGGUUUGCUUUAAGGACACUGUAGAAGUCAACUUCUUAAUUGCAACAAUGCUGUAUUUGCAACUGAAGUCGGCCCCUUCUCUUUAAAUCCCGUGGAGUCCCUGCAGACUGGCUAAUGAGACUUUUUUUUUCAGGUGUAACAAAUAUUUGCUUAGCAGUG